UACAGAGGUCUCAACCGUUGUUCGGAUUCAUUGGGCGUAAAGGGUGCGUAGGCGGUCGCGCAAGUCGGAUGUGAAAUCUUAGGGCUCAACCCUGAAACUGCAUUCGAUACUGCGUGGCUUGAGUACUGGAGAGGAGACUGGAAUUUACGGUGUAGCAGUGAAAUGCGUAGAUAUCGUAAGGAAGACCAGUGGCGAAGGCGAGUCUCUGGACAGUUACUGACGCUGAGGCACGAAGGCCAGGGGAGCAAACGGG
rnacentral:rRNA from 1 species